GCACAAGCAGCGAGCAUGUGGUUAAUUCGAAGCAACGCGAAGAACCUUACCUAGACUUGACAUCUCCUGAAUUACCCGUAACUGGGGAAGCUCUUCGGAGCAGGAAGACAGGUGGUGCAUGGUUGUCGUCAGCUCGUGUCGUGAGAUGUUGGGUUAAGUCCCGCAACGAGCGCAACCCUUAUCGUUAGUUGCUACCAUUAGGUUGAGCACUCUAGCGAGACUGCCCGGGUUAACCGGGAGGAAGGUGGGGAUGACGUCAAAUCAUCAUGCCCCUUAUGUCUAGGGCUACACACGUGCUACAAUGGUGAGGACAAAGAGACGCAAGACCGCGAGGUGGAGCAAAUCGCAGAAAAUCGCUCUCAGUUCGGAUUGGAGUCUGAAACCCGACUCCAUGAAGGUGGAAUCGCUAGUAAUCGCGCAUCAGCAUGGCGCGGUGAAUACGUUCCCGGGCCUU
rnacentral:rRNA from 1 species